AAUGGUGGGGCAAACUUUGGAGCAGGCUAUCACGGUUGGAACAAUCAGUGCUGAAGGAGUUGAAGAGGAUGGGCAAGCCACGGCUUCUCCUUCUGGAAACGGAGAUCAUCUCCAAAGAAGACCAUCAUUUUCUACUAUGGACAAUGUGGAUGCUAGUUCUCUCCCAUUCACAGGUGUGGAAAUGGCCUGUAGCCUGCAGGAGCCUGAGGAGAAGAGAGGAGCUAGCAGCCCCAGUCAAGUCUAGCGAAGUGCAUCUUGGCCUGCAGUGAUGGCUGUUUCCCCCAGAAAGUUCUUCCACUUCUGGAUCCCACCUCGACUGAACCUUACACAAUCUACUGCUGGACUUUCCAAUGGCAUGAGUUGUACAGGAUGCAAAUCACAGGCAGAUGAUUCCCAAAGACUCUUCUCCUCCGCCCAGAUCUUGAUGUCCUACCAUCCCCUGAAGUUGAUGUAUGUGGGGUUCUGAAAGGUCUCAACACGUGGCAGUAGGCAGCAGAAUUAAUUCCCUGUGCCUCCUGCAAUUCCCUGAGCCUCCCUUUCUCAAAACGCCAGCUUUCUCACAAGGAUAGCCUGAGACAUACGGAAGUGGGAAUGAUGUUCUGUUCUCAGGUGAAGUGUUUGUGCAUAUGUGUGUGUCGGGGGAGAGGAAGGUAAGCAAAACCAGUUGUUCUCAGAUGACUUGCAGCACCUGAGCAUGUCCUUUAUUUUAUCUUUUUUUUAAAAAAAAUACUUAAUAGCAUUUUCACUUCCUAGUUUCUCCAUUAUGUUGAAGUUGAAUAGUCUUUGGUAGGUCUUGUCUUACUUUUCAAGAACAUUAUGGGAAUUCUGCAAAAAGAUAGCUACAUGCAAAGCUAUCAUUUCUAUUGUUACAAAAAUAUGUGACACACUUACCUUAUGCUAUCAAAGAUGAAUGCUAUCCUCCACAUAUCCUUUAAAUGGGCUUCACAAGAAGAGGAUGGUCCCAUUUCUGAACAUUGCCUUGUCAAUGGAUGAGGAGGUUUGCACUCAGUCAAACUGGUUAAGCUAGAAUCAUAUUUCCCUAAAUCUCUUGUCCUGUUUAUUUCCAGGUGAUGAUUGGCCAAUAAAAUAAAUUUAGACGUGAUUUGGAUAGUAAAAAUGAAGCCACAGUCACUGAUCACUGAAGAUCAUUGUGGGUACAGGUGGGAGCUAAGAGCUAGCAAGGUAUCAGUGGGAUUUACAAGUCUUUUCUUUAUUCUUUAUCCUGCUCUUCUUGUCAAUUGCCAGAUUUCCUGACCAACAAAGGGCCCAGGCCGACUGCCACAAGUCUGAAUGCAGACCUGCAGAAGCAGCAGCAACUCAAAAGGACAGCAUUCCACAGACCUUCCCUGCACUGCCCUUCAUAGCCCACUCUGCAGCUGGACCUGCCUACUCGCCAUACACCCUGAAAGCUCCCACUUAUCCACCUAACCUCAACUUGCUCUAGUGUUCGAGGAGGGCUGAGUGGUGGUUUUCCUCGGGCCUUCCAACACUUGCCCUUCUCCCCCAAGUAUUACAAGCCCUCAUUCUAAAUAUAUCCCUGAUUUCAUAAUACUAAUAGAAGUGCUGCUUCUCUGAUUAAACCCUGACUGACACAUGGAGUGUUUUAUUACCAUUUAAUAAACAUCAUGUCAAACC
rnacentral:lncRNA from 1 species